GUGUCCAUAGCUCAACUGGAUAGAGCGUCGGCUUCCUAAGCCGAGGGUUCGAGUCUUAUUGGACAUACCA
rnacentral:tRNA from 1 species